rnacentral:tRNA from 1 species
GUGCCUGUAGCUCAGCUGGAUAGAGUGCCACCCUCCGGAGGUGGAGGUCUGGGGUUCGAAUCCCCACAGGCACGCCA